rnacentral:lncRNA from 1 species
CCUUGAACUGAAAAUGAAAAUAAUGCAGGGAACUCUUUCUUAACCGGAUUGCUUUGGUUUGCUCUGUCUGGAAUAAUGCACUGAAAAUGAAAACAUUGCAGGGAACACGUCAUGAAAGUAAUGUUUGUUCAGUCCAAAUGUUACUUGCCAUUCUAUUUCCUUAUGAUUUUAUUCUCUUACAGUUUGCUCUCUAUCCAGUAGCAGUUGCGUUGCAAGUACAAUGAACAUCAUCAAUGCAACAGAGAGGUUAAAGAUGAGGUUGAGGUUAUCACUUGGCGUCAAGAAAUUGUAUAAUAUUCUUCCAAAUGAAGUGGUAAUAUUCCUUCCAUAUUUUGUUGUUGUAUGCACUUGAACGUAGAAAUUAAAUAUUGGCCAUCGCUUAUUUGAGGACUGAUUUUUCUAGUUUGCAACUCAUGAUUAGGGGCAAAAAUCAAGAUCCGUGAUCCACGUGAGAUGCAAGAGCCUUUGCUCUAAUCAAGGUAUUUUUACUUUUGUUUUCACCCUGGUCUCUAAUCAAGGGAUUAUCAUUAAUAAUUGCUGAUCAAGUUGUCUCAUGUACAUUAAAUCAUACCAUGCUAUGUCCAUUGUGCCAAAGAUCAUGAGAUCUGCAUUUAACCAGUAAUUUCUAUGUUUGUUUAGUAUGAACACAACUUAUUUCUAUUCCCUUUUGAUUUUUUAUUGUCUCAAUUUGUAAGUGUUGUAAAAAUGUGUUCUCUAGUUUUGUUUAUCCAUAGUUUUUGGUUUGAUCUUUUUUAUUAUAUUAGGAUUUAGGAAGCAUUGACCAGCUGCAUGGCAAGUACAAGGAGCAUUAUCAGUACAACAAGGAGGUUCAAUCAAGAAGUUGAGGUCAUCAAUCAAGGCAAGAAAUUCUACCAUAUUGUUCUGAAUGAAGAGGUACCUUUUCCUGCUAUUACAUUAUCAAAUAUUUGCAUAAUGCUUUGGUUUCUACUAUUAUGGAGAUGAUCAAGGAUCUGUCGAGCAUUCUUGCAAAUCUGAAAUGGAUAGACUUAACUCCCUACUAUUUUCUUAUUAUGUAGCUUUGUGGUUAUGCAUCCUUGAGGAGUUGCACUUAAUUCUAUUAACAUUGGUAUUGUGUUUUGAAGUGACUUGCAAGAAGUCUCUAAUAAAUUAUCUACUCCGACUGUUAGCUGAUAGUUCUGUCAAACUGACCCAGAAGCUUGUGCUCAGGUUGUCAUUUGAAUGGAUUUAGUCAGCUGUAUGGUUUGCAUCAAAUCUGAGACAUGAUGCUAGAACAAAUCACUCCAUUAUUUGGCUAUAUAGCUGUUAAAUUUGGUAACCCUGCUGUGACAAAAACAAGUUUGGUAUAUAUGCCAAUGUUAAUGUGAGAAGCUGAGAUACCAAAUAGAUUAUGUUGAUCAUAUCUUAUAUAUGUUUUCCUGUUUCUUGUUACCUUUUUAACACUUGCUCAUUUUCACAAGUUCAAUUAUGCCACUGCAAGGUAACCUUGAAUAGCAGCUUGCAACUUAAGCUGCAGCAAGGCAUUAUAGAAAAUGAGGUCUCAUGUUGGACCUCUGUUUUUGUUAGCCUUUGAUUCAUGUAAAUUCUAUGGAACUGUACCAGGAGAUAUGUGAAUUGUAGAUAUAUGGUUGACGUAAACUAUUGAAAUUGAUGUUUCUGUGUUCUGAGUAUUCUGAAUAAUGGAAUAAAUGUGUAAAACUAUCAAUAUGGAGUUUUUUUGUUUCUUU